rnacentral:rRNA from 1 species
UACGUAGGGGGCAAGCGUUGUCCGGAUUUAUUGGGCGUAAAGAGCGUGUAGGCGGUUAGGUAGGUCCGUUGUGAAAACUCGAGGCUCAACCUCGAGACGGCCGAUGGGAAACCAUCUAACUAGAGUCCGGAAGAGGAGAGUGGAAUUCCUGGUGUAGCGGUGAAAUGCGCAGAUAUCAGGAAGAACACCCGUGGCUAAGGCGGCUCUCUAGUACG